rnacentral:rRNA from 1 species
GACGAACGCUGGCGGCGUGCUUAACACAUGCAAGUCGAACGAAGAGCGAUGGAAGCUUGCUUCUAUCACUCUUAGUGGCGAACGGGUGAGUAACGCGUAAUCAACCUGCCCUUCAGAGGGGGACAACAGUUGGAAACGACUGCUAAUACCGCAUACGAUCUAACCUCGGCAUCGAGGAUAGAUGAAAGGUGGCCUCUACAUGUAAGCUCUCACUGAAGGAGGGGAUUGCGUCUGAUUAGCUAGUUGGAGGGGUAACGGCCCACCAAGGCGAUGAUCAGUAGCCGGUCUGAGAGGAUGAACGGCCACAUUGGGACUGAGACACGGCCCAGACUCCUACGGGAGGCAGCAGUGGGGAAUCUUCCGCAAUGGACGAAAGUCUGACGGAGCAACGCCGCGUGAGGGAUGACGGCCUUCGGGUUGUAAAGCUCUGUUAAUCGGGACGAAAGGCCUUCUUGCGAAUAGUUAGAAGGAUUGACGGUACCGGAAUAGAAAGCCACGGCUAACUACGUG